rnacentral:lncRNA from 1 species
AUUAUUUUCUGAAUUUUUUUUUUCUAUAGAAAACAAACUUUUCCACACUUUUUUUUAGAAAAAUAUUUAAAAAUAAAAACUAUCUUUUCAUAAAAUCGGUAAACAAAAUUAGAAAAUUAUUUUUUGUUCUCAAAUUUUAAUUUAUUAUAAUUUUUGACUUGCGCUUUAAAAAUAGUUACAAUCAAAUCCUACAAUCCAAUUUAGUUGAUAAAAUGUUAAUGUGUCUGUCCGGUACUGUAAAAAUAAUGCUACAUCUUAAUACUGCUAAAUUACUUUCACAUUCUCAACACAUUAUUAUUUAAUCAAUUAAAUUGGAUUGCAUGUUAAGUCUAAAAAUUCGAGCCAGAUAUUACAACAAAUUCAUGGUUACUUCGUCGGAAACAAAAUAUCAGUGGAGAGUUUUUCAGGAAUCCUCGAU